GGUUUAAUGAGUUUAAGAACCGAACCGAUUCUAUCGCACUAUCGUCUCGUCGUCGUUCGAUCUCCCUCUCUCCUUGCUUAGGCGCGCGCGCGUAGCCGCCGUGGUUAUCGCUCCCUCUCUCCGCAUGUGAUCGCCUCGAUGUCGUUCAAUUUCCGUCUCCGACGAUGUUAAGGUUAUAAAGAAGAGGAGGUGGGGAAAAAAACUUGACCAAACCAUUGGCGGAUUCGUUUGUGGAGGGGGCUUAUUUGCUUUUCUGUUGAUUUCUCAAGCGUUCUUUCAUGGUUUUUCAUUCUUUCAACUCCAAAGUUCCCGUCUUCAUCUCUCCAGUUUGUAUGCAAGUAUACCAAGAGCUUUACGUUGCUGGAUGUCCUGUUUUGUACUGAAUCAUUUGUUGGGCUGCUUAUCAUUCAUGUAGAUAAGUUUAGGUCUGUGGGAAUUCGAAUGUUUAUAUUAUAUUUGUGGGUCUUUGUUACGUUCUUCCUUGGAGCUCAUUGAUUGAUAAUUCAAGUUUCACAAUCUCUAAACGUUCAGGUCAGGCUCCACUUGAGCUAAAAUCUUUGAUUUUCUCAUGCAUUCUAGAAUAUUGCAACGCUUAUAAAAAGUUCAAAUGUUUUUCUUUUCCUCUUUUGUUUUCUUGACUUGGUGUGAUUUUAUUCAUCUUUUUUGUUGGAAAUGGCUACCGCUUAGCCUAAAUGUACUUAAUUAGAUAUUAUGCAUAUCCUUAUAGCGUGUGUUUGCUUUAUUAAUUAUUUCAUCAUGUGCCCAAUCUGCAUCCCUGGUUCAAGCUGGAGCCAGCUUUCUUUCUUAAUGGAUUCAAUCUCUCUUUUAUCGUUAAUCUGUUGAAUUGAAGCUCAAUUGCAACCUAACCAGGAUUAUUUAUUAAGUUAACACAUCUAUCGUGAUGAAUAAUUAAUAUAAUAGAAGUUUCUCUACUUUAUUUGCUGGUUCUUUAAGCUUUAAUGUUUCCGUAUGAACUUGAGUAAUGACUGAUGAAAUAUUUUAUUAAUGCAAUUUUGAGGAUGGAAAGCCUUUAAUUUAUUGCAAUUCUGUCCCAUGAUUUACUUUGUUACUUACCAAUAAAAUGCUUAAUUUUCAUCUGAUUUGUUUGUUUGCAUAAUCAUUUACGUCUGGUGAUAUCAGUUGAAGUGCAUGCAAGCUUGCCUGAAUACUCAUCAAUAUUAAAAAAAAAAAAAAAAAAACCCCUUUUGUUGCUCCUCCAAUCUUUUGGUUUGUUCUGUGUGUGAAUCCAUUAUUCAAUUGUAAGGGAUGCUUUUUUUCAA